CUUAAUUGGAUUGAGCCUUAGUAUGGAAACCUACUAAGUGAGAACUUUCAAAUUCAGAGAAACCCUGGAAUUAAAAAUGGGCAAUCCUGAGCCAAAUCCUGUUUUACGAAAAUAAACAAAAGUUCGGAAAGAAAGAAUUAAAAAAAAAAGGAUAGGUGCAGAGACUCAAUGGAAGCUGUUCUAACAAAUGGGGUUUGACUAGCUUUGCGUUAGUAAAGGAAUCCUUCUAUCGAAACUACAGAAAGGAUGACCUAUACGCAUACCUAAAGGUAAUAAAAAACUAUCUCUCAAAAAAAAAAAGACGACCCAACCCCAUAUUUAUAUAUAUUUUUAUAAAAAAUCGAAAUAUAUUUUUGUGAAUUAGUAUUGAUUCUAAGUUGAAAAAGGAAUCGAAUCCAACAUUCAUUAAUAAAAUAAUUCACCCCAUACCAUAGUUUGAUAAAUCUUUUGAACAACUGGUUAAUCGGACGAGAAUAAAGAUAGAGUCCCGUUCUACAUGUCAAUAUCAAUACUGACAACAAUGAAAUUUAUAGUAAGAAAAAAAUCCGUCGACUUUUAAAAUCGUGAGGGUUCAAGUCCCUUU
rnacentral:ncRNA from 1 species